rnacentral:rRNA from 1 species
AUGGCCGCCUGCGCCGGUGACCCUGCCUGCAGCCUCCCAUGGCGCCCCUCGCUGGAGGUCAACGACAAGCUCACGGGGCGUGCUGCUUCUCGUCCUUGCCUAGGAGCGACGACGUCCGCUCCAUGGACUGGCCGCAGAGGUCGGGCAGCCGAGGCCACUCGGAUCCUGGCGGCGCACGCAAUCGUAAGAGGGACGAUACCUCGCCGGAGGUCAGGGGCGCGAGCUCUACCGGAGGUCCUGGCCGGCAUCGUGGACGACGCAUGGCGUGGAGGAGGAGAAAAGGCGUGGCUGGCGGUGGGCUUUCGGCCGCGGCGACAGGAGCCGGUGGGGGCGGCGCGGUCGGGUGCAAGGGGUGGCGGCUGUAGCCUCCUCCCGAUCGGAUCCAGAGAAGGGGAUCAAGAGCAGGGGGUUGAUUGCUUUCUAUUUUUGGAUCCAGAGGAGAUAAUCCGCCUUUCACUGGUUAGUGUUCAGUUCAUUGACACACUUUUCAAGGGAGCAGAAGUUUCCUAG